rnacentral:rRNA from 1 species
UGGGGAAUUUUGGACAAUGGGCGAAAGCCUGAUCCAGCAAUGCCGCGUGUGUGAAGAAGGCCUUCGGGUUGUAAAGCACUUUUGUCCGGAAAGAAAUCCUUGGCUCUAAUACAGUCGGGGGAUGACGGUACCGGAAGAAUAAGCACCAGCUAACUACGUGCCAGCAGCCGCGGUAAUACGUAGGGUGCAAGCGUUAAUCGGAAUUACUGGGCGUAAAGCGUGCGCAGGCGGUUUGCUAAGACCGAUGUGAAAUCCCCGGGCUCAACCUGGGAACUGCAUUGGUGACUGGCAGGCUAGAGUAUGGCAGAGGGGGGUAGAAUUCCACGUGUAGCAGUGAAAUGCGUAGAGAUGUGGAGGAAUACCGAUGGCGAAGGCAGCCCCCUGGGCCAAAUACUGACGCUCAUGCACGAAAGCGUGGGGAGCAAAACAGGAUUAGAUACCCUGGUAGUCCACGCCCUAAACGAUGUCAACUAGUUGUUGGGGGAUUCAUUUCCUUAGUAACGUAGCUAACGCGUGAAGUUGACCGCCUGGGG